rnacentral:lncRNA from 1 species
AUGGCCAGUGUUCCCAGGCCGCGUGUUCAGUCAGCUCCCCUGGGCUCUGUGUGUGUGUGUGUGUGUGUGUGUGUGUGUGCGUGCGCGCGCACGUGCACUCGCGCACAUGCUCACAGGUGCCUGCACGCCCAGCCCCGGGCUGGGGUGAGGAUCCAGCAGCCAUCAGGACCGGACACAGGCAGGCCCAGCCCAGCAGCAGGGCCUCAAGGGCCCAUGGAGGGCCCAGCGCUGAUGGCCGAAGGGAGUGGGGGUCGGGGGCGAUGGGAAGCCGGCAUCAGGCUCUCGGUGCUCAUCUGUGUGGCUCUGCGGGUCAGAACUUCACCCCUCCUCCGGCCGAAGGGUGCAGGAUGGACAGUGGAAUUCAUUCCAUUUGGCCAAGAAGGGCCCGCUCCUCCCUGGGUGGACAUUUGCCUGCGCUCCUUACACUGAGCAUCGGAGCCCCCGGUGAGACCGGGUGAGUGGGACGCAGGGCCGCCCACGGGCACUUCUCUCCCGGCCGCCUCCCUGCGAUCCUCCGCCCCCACCUUCUUUCUACACAGCAGACCUUCAGGAUCUAUGAGACGAAAGCCGAGAGCUUACUAAGAGCUCAGAGCACCACUAAGGCAGAUGAGGGCAACGGCCCGGGUUCUGGGCUCUCUCGGUCACUACCAUGGAGACCGGUAUGUACCGACCUUGGUGUUGCAAAAUGCGCGUUCCGGGUCUGCCCAUGGUCGGCUGCCUCAGGGCCCGCACGGUCUGUUCCUCUGCCCGCCCUCCACCCCCUCCCUCCUCCUCCCUGCCCCCUCCUUAGAUCUUGAUGCCGAUAUCGCCUUCCCCAGAACACCUGUCGGCUGGGACCUGCGGGACCCCUGACCUCCGUCCAAGGUCACUGGGGUCUGGAGCCGUGGGAUGAGCUGUGCCUGGAAGGCCAUCUGCCCAGGGCCCAGGUCUCCUUUUCCCCAUUUUCCUCACGACAUGCUUGUGCCCGAGACUGACAAGUUCCAGACCUCUGGGGUCGCUUGGUGCAGAAAAAGACUACAUUUCCCAGCACACUUUGCAGCAAGAGCAUGCGACUGAGAUCCGGCCAAUGGGGUGUGAGCAGAAGAGGUAAGCUGCUCUAGGUCCUCUCUUUAAAGGGAAAGUCAUGCUCUUCGGGUCCCUUUUGCUCUUCCUUCUUGGGGGAGAGUGGAGGUGAUGUUUGGAGCCGGAGCAGCCGUUUGGGACUGCAAGACAGAAACCACAUCCCGAGACGUGCGCCCAGAGAACGUCUCCAAGGGGGUCUCCGAUCGCCCUCGGAUGCCGACCCUCCGCGGGCUACGUGAAAGAUAAACACACUUCUAUUUCUAUUUUACGGUCCCUUGGUAAAACCUGCUGUAUGUUCACUGACUCUUGGGCUGUUUCCGAGGAGGUAGCUGUUGGGUCUGUGUAUGGGGUUGGAUGGUGACCCCGA